ACAAAAACUCACCUGAGCUCGAGAAUGGGGAGAAAACUCGCCCAUUUCCGAUCUGAGGGCUCUUUAUAGGUGGCCUGGUCAGAGACCUUCGGCAGCCUAACGUGCCCCCUAAACUCAUGCAUGUUUGGCGGCCGAACUUGAGGUUCGGCGGCCGAACCUUGGCUCGUUUAAACAAAGCUUUCGGAGGCCAAAAGCGCUCCCAAAACCUUCCCAUGUUCGGCGGCCGAACUUCACUUUCGGCGGCCGAACCUGGCAAACGCCUCCUUAGUCUUUUCUUUUCAAAACUCAAUUCCUUUCCAUUUAAAACCAUAAAAUUAGUAAAAACAUUUUAGAAAACACAUUUUACCCCUCUAGAAGCCUCUAGCAUCUUCAAAAUUCCAGAUUCCAACGGAGAUUCCGCCGGAAGGUAGGGAUUCCGAUGCCGGAAUCUAGCCGAGUAUUACAGCCUUGAUGAGCAUUUGAGCUCCACUAGCAUCACGGGCACUCCAGCCCUUCUUUCAUCAGGCCUGCCUUACUCAACUCUGCUCCUAUCAGGCAGGUCAGCCAUUCCUUCUGGCAAGUCAGCCCUUCAUUCUGGCAGGUUGGCCCUUUAGCAAAUCUGUAAUACCCCCUACCCAGUUAAUUAAUUAACUGAGCCGGAGACAUUACAUUCUGUAACAAUUAAAUUAUAAGAAACAUUUCUAUAUCAAACCCCUAACAUACCUUUAAAAUUUCUAAUAUUUAGUUACUAUUUCCUCUCCCUCCACCUUGAAUUUCCUCCUUGAUUCUCCCUCUUACCUUGAAUAUUUAACUAGGGAAAAGACUUGGAUGAGAUGGCUAGUAAAUUGGGUGAAAAAUUGGAAGAAAAUAGAGUAAAUUUGAAAAGAAGAAUUUUAGGGAAGAAAAAUGGGGAUGGAUGAAACGAGACUUCUUUUUUUCUUUCUUGGAAAGAAG
rnacentral:lncRNA from 1 species